AUUGAACGCUGGCGGCAUGCCUUACACAUGCAAGUCGAACGGCAGCACGGGAGCAAUCCUGGUGGCGAGUGGCGAACGGGUGAGUAAAGUAUCGGAACGUGCCCAGUCGCGGGGGAUAACGUAGCGAAAGUUACGCUAAUACCGCAUACGAUCUAUGGAUGAAAGCGGGGGAUCGCAAGACCUCGCGCGAUUGGAGCGGCCGAUAUCAGAUUAGGUAGUUGGUGGGGUAAAGGCUCACCAAGCCGACGAUCUGUAGCUGGUCUGAGAGGACGGCCAGCCCAACUGGGACUGAGACACGGCCCAGACUCCUACGGGAGGCAGCAGUGGGGAAUUUUGGACAAUGGGCGAAAGCCUGAUCCAGCCAUGCCGCGUGCAGGAUGAAGGCCUUCGGGUUGUAAACUGCUUUUGUACGGAACGAAAAGGUUUGGCCUAAUAAGCUGAGCUCAUGACGGUAUCGUAAGAAUAAGCACCGGCUAACUACGUGCCAGCCGCCGCAGUAA
rnacentral:rRNA from 1 species